CGAGGAUCUGUCUACUGCAGGCAUUGAGAGGCCCAACGCCAGGAUGAAGGAGUUGAUGCAUUUGUGGCCCGCCUCCGACGAUGGAGGAGGUUGACAAGCAGGCGGAGGUGAUGGAGAGUGGCGGAGGCCAGGAGAGCGGCUUCGCAGAGGCUCAUGCCGUCCGUCACAGAGGUCAGCAGCGGCUCGCCACCGGGAGUCGCAAGGCAGACGAGCCUUCCGAAGGUGAGAAGCAGAAAUGUUUUCGGUGUGGCCGGAAGAAUCACGACUCUGAAGAUUGCUUCUUUCAGGGCAGAAAAUGUUUCAAUUGUGGGAAGCUAGGACACAUGGCAAAGAUGUGCCGAAAACCGCGGCUUGAUGCUAAACGCUCACAGGCUAAUGUGGUGUCUGAACAUGAGGAUCAUGUGUUCGGAGUCACGUCUAAUUCUACGGCUGCCCGGUUCCCAGUGCAGGUUGGUGACGCUGUCUGUCACGUGUUGAUCGACUCGGGAGCCACCU